UACGAAGGGGGCUAGCGUUGUUCGGAUUAACUGGGCGUAAAGCGCGCGUAGGCGGGUUUUUAAGUCAGGGGUGAAAUCCCAAGGCUCAACCUUGGAACUGCCUUUGAUACUGGAAAUCUUGAGUCCGGGAGAGGUGAGUGGAACUGCGAGUGUAGAGGUGAAAUUCGUAGAUAUUCGCAAGAACACCAGUGGCGAAGGCGGCUCACUGGCCCGGUACUGACGCUGAGGUGCGAAAGCGUGGGGAGCAAACAGG
rnacentral:rRNA from 1 species